rnacentral:rRNA from 1 species
UACGAAGGGGGCUAGCGUUGCUCGGAAUUACUGGGCGUAAAGCGCAUGUAGGCGGCGAUUCAAGUUAGAUGUGAAAGGCCCGGGCUCAACCCGGGAACUGCAUUUGAUACUGAAUUGCUAGAGUCCAAGAGAGGGUAGUGGAAUUCCCAGUGUAGAGGUGAAAUUCGUAGAUAUUGGGAAGAACACCAGUGGCGAAGGCGGCUACCUGGCUUGGUACUGACGCUGAGAUGCGAAAGCGUGGGGAGCGAACAGG